rnacentral:rRNA from 1 species
UACGUAGGGCGCAAGCGUUUGUCCGGAAUUAUUGGGCGUAAAAGAGCUCGUAGGCGGCUUGUCACGUCGGGUGUGAAAGCCCCGGGGCUUAACCCCGGGUCUGCAUUCGAUACGGGCAGGCUAGAGUGUGGUAGGGGAGAUCGGAAUUCCUGGUGUAGCGGUGAAAUGCGCAGAUAUCAGGAGGAACACCGGUGGCGAAGGCGGAUCUCUGGGCCAUUACUGACGCUGAGGAGCGAAAGCGUGGGGAGCGAACAGG